AGAAUCAACGCUGGCGGCGUGCCUAACACAUGCAAGUCGAACGAGAAAGUGGAGCAAUCCAUGAGUAAAGUGGCGCACGGGUGAGUAACACGUGACUAACCUACCCUCGAGUGGGGAAUAACCUCGGGAAACCGGGCUAACACCGCAUAACAUCUACGGAUCAAAUGCGGUAAGCAGCUUGAGGAGGGGGUCGCGGCUGAUUAGCUAGUUGGCGGGGUAACGGCCCACCAAGGCGAAGAUCGGUA
rnacentral:rRNA from 1 species